CAAUAGCGUAUAUUAAAGUUGUUGCGGUUAAAAAGCUCGUAGUUGGAUUUCUGCUGAGGACGAUCGGUCCGCCCACUGGGUGAGUAUCUGGCUCGGCCUUGGCAUCUUCUUGGAGAACGUUGCUGCACUUGACUGUGUGGUGCGGUAUCCAGGACUUUUACUUUGAGGAAAUUAGAGUGUUCACGGCAGGCAAACGCCUUGAAUAUAUUAGCAUGGAAUAAUAACAUAGGAUCUUCGUCCUAUUUUGUUGGUUUCUAGGGCUAAGAUAAUGAUUAAUAGGGAUAAUUGGGGGCAUCUGUAUCAACGCGUCAGAGGUGGAAUUCUUGGAUUGCGUUGCGACAAACUACUGCGAAAGCAUUUGCCAAGGAUGUUUUCAUUGA
rnacentral:rRNA from 1 species